rnacentral:rRNA from 1 species
GUGGACAAUUUAUCUUCGAGAUCGGGAUAAUCCUUCGAAAGAGGGUUUAAUACCGGAUAAUAUUCCUUUUUGGUAUUGUAGAGGAAUCAAAGGCGGGGUAACCUGUCACUUGGAGAUGAGUCCGCGGUCCAUUAGCUUGUUGGUGAGGUAAUGGCUCACCAAGGCUGUGAUGGAUAGCCGGCCUGAGAGGGCGAUCGGCCACACUGGGACUGAGAUACGGCCCAGACUCCUACGGGAGGUAGCAGUAGGGAAUAUUGCGCAAUGGACGCAAGUCUGAUGCAGCAACGCCGCGUGGGUGAUGAAGCUCUUUGGAGUGUAAAACCCUGUCAGUGGGGAAGAAAUGUAAGAGAAGUAAUUAUUUCUUAUUUGACGGUACCCGCAGAGGAAGUCCCGGCUAACUCCGUGCCAGCAGUUGCGGUAAUACGGGGGGGACAAGCGUUGUUCGGAUUUACUGGGCGUAAAGGGCGCGUAGGCGGGCCUUCAAGUCGGAUGUGAAAACUAGUGGUUUAACCACUAGCCUGCAUUCGAUACUGUUGGUCUUGAGUAUAGGAGAGGAAAGCGGAAUUCCAGGUGUAGUGGUGGAAUGUGUAGAUAUUUGGAAGAAUAUUAGUAGUGAAGGUGGCUUUCUGGCCUAAUACUGACGCUGAAGCGCGAAGGCUUGGGUAGUAAUUAGGAUUAGAUAUCCUGGUAGUCCAAGCGGUAAAUGAUGGGUACUAGGUGUCGGGGGUAUUGAUUCCCUCGGUGCCGAAGUUAAUGUAUUAAGUACCCCGCCUGGGGAGUACGGCCGCAAGGCUGAAACUCAAAGGAAUUGACGGGGCCCCGCACAAGCGGUGGAGUAUGUGGUUUAAUUCGAUUCAAUGCGCAGAACCUUACCUGGGUUUGACAUGCUUAGGACCGCUGGUGAAAGCCAGUUUUCCCUUUGGGGACCUUUGCACAGGUGCUGCAUGGCUGUCGUCAGCUCGUGCCGUGAGGUGUUGGGUUAAGUCCCGUAACGAGCGUAACCCCUGUCCAUAGUUGCCAUCAGGUUAUGUUGGGAACUUUAUGGAGACCGCCGGUGAUAAGCUGGAGGAAGGUGGGGAUGACGUCAAGUCCUUAUGGCCCUUAUACCCAGGGCUACACACGUAUUAUAAUGGCCGGUAUAGAAGGUUGCAAUAUCGUGAGAUGGAGCUAAUUCCCAAAACCGGUCUCAGUUCAGAUUAGAGUCUGCAAUUCGACUCUAUGAAGUAGGAAUCGCUAGUAAUCGCUGAUUAGUAGGCAGCGGUGAAUACGUUCCCGGGGCUUGUACACACCGCCCGUCAAGCCAUGGAAGUUGGGAGCACCCAAAGUCGUUUGCUUAACUGUAAGGAUGGCGGCGCCUAAGGUGAUACCGAUGACUAGGGCUAAGUCGUAACAAGGUA